rnacentral:rRNA from 1 species
GGAUUGACAUCCUACGAAUCUUCUUGAAAGGGAAGAGUGCCUUCGGGAGCGUAGAGACAGGUGGUGCAUGGCUGUCGUCAGCUCGUGUCGUGAGAUGUUGGGUUAAGUCCCGCAACGAGCGCAACCCUCGUCCUUAGUUGCCAUCAUUAAGUUGGGCACUUUAAGGAGACUGCCGGUGACAAACCGGAGGAAGGUGGGGAUGACGUCAAGUCAUCAUGCCCCUUACAUCCUGGGCUACACACGUACUACAAUGCAACGGACAAAGGGCAGCCAACUAGCGAUAGUGCGCAAAUCCCAUAAACCGUUGCUCAGUUCAGAUUGCAGGCUGCAACUCGCCUGCAUGAAGGCGGAAUCGCUAGUAAUCGCAGGUCAGCAUACUGCGGUGAAUACGUUCCCGG